UACGUAGGGGGCAAGCGUUGUCCGGAAUCAUUGGGCGUAAAGCGCGUGUAGGCGGCUCGGUAAGUCUGCUGUGAAAGUCCAGGGCUCAACCCUGGGGAUGCCGGUGGAUACUGUCGAGCUCGAGUCCGGAAGAGGCGAGUGGAAUUCCUGGUGUAGCGGUGAAAUGCGCAGAUAUCAGGAGGAACACCAAUGGCGAAGGCAGCUCGCUGGGACGUGACUGACGCUGAGACGCGAAAGCGUGGGGAGCAAACAGG
rnacentral:rRNA from 1 species